GUCAUGUUCAAAACACCUCAGGGAAUCCACUGUGAGGCGUUCAACACUCAGUAAAUUAUAGUGUUUGCCAUAAAUGAACAUUGAACAUUCAAAAAUACAAAAAUACACAACAUGUGGGGUGCCUGUUAAUGCACAAAUGAUUGAACAAUAUUGUGUAGAAAU